GAGGUCAGUCGGAACUGCAGAGUGAGACCCUGUCCUUUGUUUGUUUGUUUGUUUGUUUGUUUAAGAUGGGGUUUCUCUGUGUGGCCCUGGCUGUCCUA
rnacentral:pre_miRNA from 1 species